AGCAGCCGCGGUAAUUCCAGCUCCAAUAGCGUAUAUUAAAGUUGUUGCAGUUAAAAAGCUCGUAGUUGAAUUUCGGGAUCAAUACGUCGGUCGUGCUUCGGUACGUACUGGCGUAAUUGGUUUCUCCCUUCUGAAGAACCUCGAUGCCAUUAAUUUGGUGUCGUGGGGAAUCAGGACUGUUACUUUGAAAAAAUUAGAGUGUUUAAAGCAAGCAUACGCUUGAAUACAUUAGCAUGGAAUAAUGAAAUAGGACGUUUGAUUCUAUUUUGUUGGUUUCUAGGAUCGACGCAAUGAUUAAUAGGGAUAGUUGGGGGCAUUAGUAUUCAAUUGUCAGAGGUGAAAUUCUUGGAUUUAUUGAAGACUAACUACUGCGAAAGCAUUUGCCAAGGAUGUUUUCAUUAAUCAAGAACGAAAGUUAGGGGAUCGAAGACGAUCAGAUACCGUCGUAGUCUUAACCAUAAACUAUGCCGACUAGGGAUCGGAUGAUGUUAAUUUUUAAUGACUCAUUCGGCGCCUUACG
rnacentral:rRNA from 1 species